rnacentral:lncRNA from 1 species
CGCGUGUUAUCUUGAUGAUGAUUGACGUUGUCAUGCACAGACAGGGCCUGGUCACAUGACGAAUCACGAGCUUUUGCUUAUAAAACUCUUUGGUCAGUUAUUUUGUAUUUCAACGUAAUUAGAUUGCGAUUUCCUGGAGCAUUCUGACGCAAACGCUCAAAAUACUUACAGACGGAUAUACAAGUCGUAUUAAUCGCGGCUAAUCCACACUGAAAGAUGUUAUUGAGCGGUAAUUUUGGAACGGAUUGAGUCGCGAAAGCUUGAAAGCCAUGAAAGCCUUGAAUGCCUUGUAUGCUAAAUAUGCCAAUGUCUUAGUUGAAAAACGUUCAAUUGUUGUAAAAGCAAAAUCUGAAAUCUGAAACCAAACUGCAUAUACUCUAUGCAAUCUAUUGAACAACACUACUUCCGUGAGACUGAAGAACAUAACUAUAAUGGAUGCAAACUGCUUGUGAAGAAAGACGACAUAUUGGAUUCACUUGAUGGCAAGGAACGUAGCUACGAUAACAGUACGAAUGGUAUUAAUUUCACGAUCAGAAAGGCGGCCCAAGCUCACGUCUCGAGAAAAAGCCAACGAUUAAUUCAUGAACGCGUCACGCGCUGUGUGAGUCGGUGUUAAGUUACGAGAGGAACUGCACGUAAUAAGGAAUAGUAUAGGGAACGAAGUAUGGUCGA